rnacentral:lncRNA from 10 species
UCCCGGGUUCAUGCCAUUCUCCUGCCUCAGCCUCCUGAGCAGCUGGGACUACAGGAACCCACCACCACACUCAACUAAUUUUUUGUAUUUUUAGUAGAGACAAGGUUUCACUGUGUUAGCCAGGAUGGUCUCGAACUCCUGACCUCGUGAUCCACCAGCCUCGGCCUCCCAAAGUCCUGGGAUUACAGGCGUGAGCCACCGCACCUGGCCUGAUUUUAAAUUUUUAAAGAAAUCUUUAUUUUGUUUUUCAUAAUGGCUGCCCUCAUUUACAUUCAAACCAACAGUGUGCAAGCAUUCUAUUUUCUUCACACCUUUACUAAUACUCAUUUUCUUUUUCUUUUUAAUCAGAGUCAUUCUAACAGGAGUGAGUUGAUAUCUCAUCUUUUUUUAUUUUUUUGCUUUCCUUUCCCUGAUAAUAAUUGAUAUUGAGCAUUUUUAAAUAUAUCUUUUGACUAUGUAUGUCUAUUCUUGAAAAUAAGCCUUUUGCUCAUUUUUAAUAGUACUUUUUGUAUUGUAAUUUGAGAUUCUUAUAUAUUUUUGAUAUUAACACGUUGUCACAUGUAUGAUUUGCACAUUUUUUCCAUUUUUUAGUUGUCUGAUCCUGUUGAUUGUCUCAGAUUCUUUGCAGCAAUUUUUUUAUUUGAAGUAAUCUGAUUAAUCUAUUUUUCUUUUGGUUCCCUGGGAUUUUGAAGUUAUAUCAAAAAAGUCACUGCCCAAACUAAUGUUAUGGGUCUUUCACUCUGUUUUUUUUUGUAGUGGUUUCAGAGUGUCAGACCUUACAUUGUAAUAUCUAAUUUAUUUUGAGUUAAUUUUUAUAUAUGGUAUCAGAUGAGGGUCUCAUUUUAUUGCUCUGCAUGUGGCUAGAAAGUUUUCUCAGUGGACGCGUUGGCUCACAUCUGUAAUCCCAACACUGGGAGGCUGAGGCAGGCAAAUCACCUGAGGUUGGAAGUUUGAGACCAGCCUGAUCAACAUGGAGAAAUCCCAUCUCUACUAAUAAUACAAAAAUUAGUCGGGCAUGGUGGUGCAUGCCUGUAAUCCCAGCUACUCGGGAGGCUGAGGCAAGCUUGAACAAUGUGGAGGCAGAGGUUGCAGUGAACUGAGAGCGUGCCAUGGACUCCAGCCUGGGCAACAAGAGCAAAACUCCCUCUCAAGAAAAAAAAAAAAAAGGAAAGGAAAAAAGAAAGUUUUCUCAAUACCAUUUAUUGAAGAUACUGUCCUUUCUCUAAGAAAAUGUCACCUAUAUCUAAUAUCAAUUAGCUGUAAAUACAUGGAUAUAUUUCCACACUCCUCAGCUACAUUGCCCUAUGUAUCCAGUUUUAUUGAAGUACCACACUGUUUUGGUUACUAUAGUUUUUCAGUAUGUUGCAAAGUCAGGUAGGGUGAUACUUUCAGCCUUUUUUACUUUUUUAUUCCUUUGGCUAUUCUGGGUCUUUUGUGGUACCAUAUGAAUUUUACAUAUAUUUUACAAAAUUUAUAUUAAGUAUUUCACUGGCUACUGAGACCAGCUCGGUUGGGGAGACCCUAACCCAGCGGCGCUAGAGGAAUUAAAGACACACACACACAAAUACAGAGGUGUGAAGUGAGGAAUCGGGUCUCCCAGCCUUCAGAGCUGAGAGCCCUGAACAGAGAUUUACCCACAUAUUUAUUAACAGCAAACCAGUCAUUAGCAUUGUUUCUAUAGAUAUUAAAUUAACCAAAAGUAUCUCUUAUGGGAAACGAAGGGAUAGGACGAAUUAAUUGAAUAGGUUGGGCUAGUUAACUGCAGCAGGAACACUCCCUUAAGACAGAUGGCUCAGGCUUCUGUUUGUGUCUUAAGAAUGCCUUUAAGCGGUUUUCUACCCUGGGCAGGCCAGGUGUUCCUUGCCCUCAUUCCCAUAAACCCACAACCUUCCAGCUUGGGCGUUACAGCCAUUAUGGACACGUUACAUUGCUGCAGAGAUUUUAUUUAUGGCCAGUUUUGGGGCCAGUUUAUGGCUAGACUUUGGGGGGCUUGCUCCCAACAACUGGCAUUUUGAUAGAGGUUGCAUUAUAUCUGUAGAUCAUUUUGUGUAAUACAGCUGUUUAAAAAUAUUAAUGCUGGCCGGGCACGGUGGCUCACGCCUGUCAUCUGAGCACUUUGGGAGGCUGAGGGGGGCAGAUCACGAGGUCAGGUGUUUGAGACCAGCCUGGCCAAUAUGGUGAAACCCCAUCGCUACUAAAAAUACAAAAGUUAGCCAGGCGUGGUGGUGCACACUUGUAAUCCCAGCUAUUCAGGAGGCUGAUGCAGGAGAAUCUCUUGAACCCAGGAGGCAGAGGUUGCAGUGAGCCGAGAUCAUGCCAUUGCACUCCAGCCUGGGUGACAGAGCGCUACACCGUCUCAAAUACAUCUAUAUAUAGAUACACACACACAUACACACACGUAUAUACACACACAUAUAUAUACAUGUAUAUAUAUAUGCCAAUUCAUGAAUGAGUAAUGUAUUUUUAUUUGUGUAUUACUUAGUUUUUUACUUAAAUGUUUUUUAGAUUGUAAGGUGUUGAAACUUUUUGGCUAAAUUUAUUUCAAAGUAUAGUUAACUACAGCUAUUGUAGAUGGAAUUUCUUUUUUCAUUUCAAUUUGAGAUAAUUGUUAGUGUAUAAAACUGCUAUUGACUUUUGUACAUUGAUUUUUUUAUUCUGCAAGUUUAACAAAUUUAUUAGUUCUAGUAGUUCUUAGUAAAUUCUUAGGCUUUUCUAUACCUAAAAUUAUGUCAUCUGCAAACAGGAAUAAUUUCACUUUUUCUUUUCCAUCUGGAUGCCUUUAUGGUAUUUGGCUGUGUCUCCACCCAAAUCUCAUCUUGAAUUGUAGCUCCCAUACUCCCCACAGGUCAUAGAAAAGACCCAGUGGAAGGUAAUUGAAUCAUGGCAGUGGGUUUUCCCAUGCUAUUCUCAUGAUAGUGAAUAAGCCUCAUGAGAUCUGAUGGUCUUAUAAAGGGCAAUUUACUUGCACAUGCUCUCCAUUAUCACCAUGUAAGACAUGACUUUUCUCCUCCUUCACCUUCCAUAAUGAUUGUGAGGCCAUCCCCAGCCAUGUUGAAUUGUGAGUUCUUUAAACCUCUUUCCUUUAUAAAUUUUCCAGUUUGGCGUAUGUUUUUAUUAGCUGCAAGAGAACAGAAUAAUACACUUUGAUUUAUUCUCUAAUUUGUUUGUCUUGGACAUUUAGUACUAUGUUUAGUAAGACUGGAGAAAGUGGGCAUUUUUGUAUUAUUCUAGCUCUUAGAGUAAAAGCUUACAACAUUACCUCAUAUAGUAUGUUAUUAGCUGUGAAUUUUUUUAAGUUAUAUGUGGCAUUUAUUGGCUUGCAGUGCAUUUUUUUAUACUUAUGCUUUUCAGAGAUUUAUUGUGAGGGACUGUGACUUUUCUAGAACUUUUAUCCAGCAUCAAUUUAAACGUUACAGUUGUAAAACCACAAUUAAUACCACAGAAAUACAAACAUCCUCAGAUACGUCUAUGAACACCUCUACGCUUGCAAACUAGAAACUUCAGAGAAAAUAAAUAAACUACUGGAUUCACAUGACCCAAGAUUUAACCAGAAAGAAACAAAAAUCUUGAACAAAACAGAAAUGUCUAAAAUGUAUAAUAAAAUUGAAUUAGUAAUAAAAAACUUAUCAACCGAAAUAGCCCUAAAUCAGAUGAAUUCUCAGCUGAGUUUUACAACAUAUAUUGCAAAAAGAUGAGCUGGUACUAAUCCUACUGAAUGUAUUCAAAAAAAUCAAGGUGUGAUUCCUCCCUAACUUAUAUAAAACCAUUGUCAGCCAGGCCUGGUGGCCCGCUUGUAAUUCCAGCACUUUGGGAGGCUGAGGCGGGCAGAUCACCUGAGGUCGGGAGUUUGAGACCAGCCUGACCAACAUGAAGAAACCCCAUCUCUACUGAAAAUACAAAAUUAGCCGGGCGUGGGGGCACAUGCUUGUAAUCCCAGCUACUCGGGAGGCUGAGGCAGGAGAAUCGCUUGAACCUGGGAGGCAGAGGUUGCAGUGAGCUGAAUUCGCACCAUUGCACUCCAGCCUGGGCAACAAGAGUGAAACUCUGUCUCAAAAACAAACAAACAAAAACAAAAAAAAAAACACCAUUGUCAUCUUGUUACCACGAUUUAGUGAAGACAGAACAACAACAAAAAAACUAUAGGUCAAUAUUCCUGAUGAACAUUAAAACAAAAAUCCUCCACAAAAUACUAGCAAACUGAGGGGCAGGGCACGGUGGCUCACCCCUAUAAUUCCAGCACUUUGGGAGGCCGAGGCGGGCGGAUCACGAGGCCGGGAGAUCCAGACCAUCAUGGCUAACACAGUGAAACCCCGUCUCUACUAAAAAAAUACAAAAAAAUUAGUUGGGCGUGGUGGGGGGCACUGUUAGUCCCAGCUACUCAGGAGGCUGAGGCAGGAGAAUGGCGUGAACCCAGGAGGCGGAGCUUGCAGUGAGCCGAGAUCACACCACUGCACUCCAGCCUGGGCGACAGAGGGAGACUCCAUCUCAAAAAAAAAAAAAAAAAAAAACUAGCAAGCUGAGUUCAUAAGCAAAUCAAAAAGUUAUUUUGCCACUAUCAUGUGAGCUUUAUUUUAUGAAUGCAAAAAUGUUCAUAUACAAGUCAAUAAGUGUGAUUCACCUUGUAAAAAUAUAUAAGCAAAAAAUCAUAAUUAUCACAAGUGCAGAAAAAGCAUUCAAGAAAAUCCAGUAUUCAUAAAAAUAUUAUCAACAAGGCUGAGUGCAGUGGCUCACGCCUGUAAUCCCAACGCUUUGGGAGGCCGAGGCGGGUGGAUCAUGAGGUCAAGAGAUCGAGACCAUCCUGGCCAACAUGGUGAAACGCCUUCUCUACAAAAAAUACCAAAAUUAGCUGGGCGUGGUGGUGGAUGCCUGCAGUCUCAGCUACUUGGGAGGCUGAGGCAGGAGACUCGCUUGAACCUGGGAGGUUGAAGUUGCAGUGAGCCACUGCACUCCAGCCUGGUGACUGCGAGACCCCGUCUCAAAAAAAAAAAAAAAAAGACCGGGCAUGGUGGCUCACACGCCUGUAAUCCCAGCACUUUGGGAGGCCGAGGUGGGCUGAUCACAAGGUCAGGAGUUCGAGACCAGCCUGGCCAAUAAGGUGAAACCCUGUCUCUACUAAAAAUACAAAAAUUAGCCAGGCAUGGUGGUGGGCACCUGUAGUCCCAGCUACUAGGGAGGCUGAGGCAGGAGAAUCACUUGAACCUGGGAGGCGGAGGUUGCAGUGAGCCGAGAUCACGCCACUGCACUCCAGCCUGGGCGACAGAGUAAGACUCCAUCUCAAAAAAAAAAAAAAAUCAAUAAACUAGGCAUAGAAGAAACAUACCUCCAAAUAAUAAGAGUCAUCUAUGACAAAUCUUCAGCCAAAAUCAUACUGAAUGGGCAAAAUCUGGAUGCAUUCUCCAUAAGAAUAAAAAUAAGAAAAAAAUAUGCACCCUAAAUACUCCUAUUCAACAUAGUUCUAAAAGUCCUAGCCAGAGCAAUUCAACAAGAUCAAGAAAUAAAAGUCAUCCAAAUAGGAAAAAAAAGGAAGUCAAAUUAUCUUCACAGGUGAAAUAAUUCUCUACCUGGAAAACUUUAUAGAUUUCACUAAAACACCCCUAAGACUAAAAAAUGACUUCAGCAAAGUCUGACCAUACAAAACCAACAUACACAUAUGAGUAGCAUUUCUGUACACCAAUAACAUUCAAGCUGAGGACAAAAUCAAGAACACAGUUCUGUUUACAAUAGCCACAAACAAAUAAUAUACCUAAGAAUACAUUAAAUCAAGUAGAUAAAAUAUCUCUACAAAGAAAAUUACAAAACAGUGCUGAAGAAAAUUAAACACAAAUAAAUAAAAAAGCAUUUUAUGCUAAUGGAUUGGAAGAAUCAAUAUAAUUAAAUGUCCAUGCUGUUUGAAGCAACCUACAGAUUAAGUGCUGUUUCUAUCAAACUAUCAAUGCCAUUUUUCAUAGAAUUCAGAUAAAAUCUUCUAAAAUUCAUAUAAGAAAUUAAAAAGCCAAAAACCCAAGGCAAUGUGAAAGUGAAUCAACUUGGAUGCCUCAUAUUACCUGACUUUAAACUAUACUAUAAGCUACAGUAGCCAAUAUAACAUGGUUCUGGUACAAAAGUAUACAUAAUGACCAAUUGAACAGAAGAGAGAGCCCUGAAACAAAGCUACACUUCUACAAGCAACUUAUUUUUGACAAAGUCAACAGAAAUUAACAAAGAGAAAAUAACUCCCAGUGCAAUAAAUGGCACUGGGAAAAUUGGUUAGUCUUACGCAGAAGAAGAAAACUAGACCCCUACCUCUCACUAUAUAUAAAAAACCAAAUAGCUCAAGAUAGAUUAAAGACUUAACAGUGAAACUUCAAGCUAUAAAAAUCCUAGAGCACUUAGAAAGUACUCUUCUAGACACUGGCCUCCAGAAAGCAUUUAUAACUAACACCUUAGAAGUGAAUACAACAAAAAUAAAAAUUAGCACCUAAUUCAACUGCAGAGCUGCACUGUAAAAGAAACUAUUGACAAAGUAAAAAAAACAACCUACAGUAUAAAAUGUUUGCAAACUGCAUGCAACAAAGCGUUAAUAUAUAGAAUCUAUCAGGAAUUUAAUAAGAAAAACGCAAAUGAUAUGAAUAGACACUUCUCAAAGGAAGACAUAAAAGCAGCCAAUAAACAUGCAAAAAAUUGUUCAACAUCCCAAAUCAAUAGAGAUACAAAUCAAAAUGGCAAUGUGAUACCAUCUCACGCCAGUUAGAAUGGCUCUUAUUAAAAAGUAAAAAGUGGCUGGGCAUGGUGGCUCACACCUGUAAUCCCAGCACUUUGGAAGGCUGAGGUGGGCAGAUCACGAGGUCAAAAGACCGAGACCAGUCUGGCUAACACAGUGAAACCCUGUCUCUGCUAAAAGUACAGAAAAUUAGCCGGGCGUGGUGGCACAUGCCUGUAGUCCCAGCUACUCGGGAGGCUGAGGCAGGAGAAUCGCUUGAACCCGGGAGGUGGAGGUUGCAGUGAGCCGAGAUCAGGCCAUUGCCCUCCAGCCUGGGCAACAGAGCAAUACUCUGUCUCAAAAAGAAAAAAAAAAAAAGUCAAAAAGUGGGCCAUGUGCAGUGGCUCGCACCUGUAAUCCCAGCACUUUGGGAGUCCAAGGCAGGCGGAUCACUUGAGAUCAGGAGUUUGAGACCAGCUUGGCCAACAUGGCAAAACCCUGUCUCUACUAAAAAUACAAAAAUUAGACAGGCAUGAUGGCAGGUGCCUGUAAUCCCAGCUACUUGGGAGGCUGCGGCAGGAGAAUCACUUGUACCCGGGAGGCAGAGGUUGCAGUAAGCCAAGAUCAUGCCACUUCACUCCAGCCUGGGCAACAGAGCAAGACUCCAUCUCAGGAAAGAAAAAAAAAAAAAAAACCAACAGAAAAAUUACUCAUUACUCAUUAGGUAAUACUGUAAACUACUUGGACAAUGGGAUUAUUAAGUGUCCAAACCUCAACAACAUGCAGUAUACCUAUGCUACAAAUCUGUACAUGUACACCUGAAUCUAUAAUAAAAAUAAUAAAAUGCCUUGUGGUAUAAUGACAUGUUACAUUUUUCCAAUUCUUGGUUCAUAGUUAGCAUUGGGUUGAAAGACACAGAAUUAUUUUCCCUUUGGGCAUAAGAGUGAAUGUUUCUAUGCCAGGUCUCCCCACAUCCUAUAAGCUAACAUCUCUGAAAGCUUUUAGCCCGAAAAAUGUUUUAUUCUUAACUGUGUGGUUAAAAUAAAUGACUCCACAUCUUUAUUUUUAAUUAAUUAACUGUACACUAGACUAUCGAGUUAAUUUGUUACUGUACUGUUUUUAGAAAAAAAUGUGGUUUUAAAACCGCAUUUCUGAGCCACCACGCCCAGCCCACAUUUCUAGUUUCUACAGCCACAGCAUUUAAAUUCUCUUGUUAUGUCAACUAGAAAUAAUGACAGUAUUUAGAGACUGAGAAAAAGAAAUUGACAUAUUUUAAUUUUUUAUACUUAAUAAAAAUGUAUACUUUCUGGGCUGGGCAUGGUGGCUUACUUUUGUACUCCCAGCAAUUUGGGAGGCCAAGGUGGUUGAAUCACCUGAGGUCAAGAGUUUGAGACCAUGGGAGGCUGAGGCAGGAGAACCACUUGAACCCAGGAGGCAGAGUUUGUAGUAAGCCGAGAUUGUGCCAUUGCACUCCUGCCUGGGCGACACAGUGAGACUCCAUCUCCUAAAUAAAUAAAUAAAUCAUAGUUUCUGAAUCAUAUAAGUUAAACAACUUGAACAUCCAGAUACCUAAAAGUUUUCUCUAGAUGAUUGUAUUAAUAUUAUAAUACCUUAUGAUAGUGAGCUUAUGAUUGCUCCACUGGGUUUGCUGAAAAGCAAUUUUUUUAUCUUCUAAGUAUAAAUAGAGAAUAGGCUUUCUAUAAUUCUAAGUAUACAGAACUUUUAAGAUUAGCACUGUUUAGAUUUGAAUGAAUUUUAUACGUUUGUAGUCACAGACAUUUUAAUAUUUUUUAUAAUAGAAGUGAAAAAUCAAUAGAAAUAAGUUGUUAACAUGUGUUUAAAAGAAACUUUACAUGUGUUCAUUAAAUAACACUUAAAACCACAUUGUGUCUGAUUAGUAACUCUAUUUCAUUUUAGUCACUGAGAAGACUUAAUAUCCUUAAAUUAUUCAAUCAGAAAAGUAUUCUUAUGUUAGUGUUUCUGAAAUUUUCGGAAACUGUAGACCAUGCAAUGAAUGAUGAUGUUCCUGCAGAC